CCUCCUCAUAUUGGCACAGAUGGGAUCCUUUGUACCCAUUUGUGUAAUCUAAAGGAGGGAGAACAAACUAUCAAUUUUAAGACUGCUCACAGAUAAUGUAUUCUGUGGAUCUGUCCUUAUACUUUGAUACAGAC